AAGUCGUAACAAGGUUUCCGUAGGUGAACCUGCGGAAGGAUCAUUACCGAGUUAAGGGUGCCGAUCCAAGGCCCCAACUCCCACCCCAUGUGUACUUCAAACCGUUGCUUUGGCGGACCAGGGACGUCCGCGUCCCCGUCGGCCUUGGCUGGCGAGCGUCUGUCAGAGGACCGACAAACUCUGCGUAAAUGUGUCGUCUGAGUGGCAUUAGCAAUAAAAUCAAAACUUUCAACAACGGAUCUCUUGGUUCUG
rnacentral:misc_RNA from 1 species